rnacentral:rRNA from 1 species
GAUGAACGCUGGCGGCGUGCCUAAUACAUGCAAGUCGAGCGAACAGACGAGGAGCUUGCUCCUCUGACGUUAGCGGCGGACGGGUGAGUAACACGUGGAUAACCUACCUAUAAGACUGGGAUAACUUCGGGAAACCGGAGCUAAUACCGGAUAAUAUAUUGAACCGCAUGGUUCAAUAGUGAAAGACGGUUUUGCUGUUACUUAUAGAUGGAUCCGCGCCGCAUUAGCUAGUUGGUAAGGUAACGGCUUACCAAGGCAACGACGCGUAGCCGACCUGAGAGGGUGAUCGGCCACACUGGAACUGAGACACGGUCCAGACUCCUACGGGAGGCAGCAGUAGGGAAUCUUCCGCAAAGGGCGAAAGCCUGACGGAGCAACGCCGCGUGAGUGAUGAAGGUCUUCGGAUCGUAAAACUCUGUUAUUAGGGAAGAACAAAUGUGUAAGUAACUAUGCACGUCUUGACGGUACCUAAUCAGAAAGCCACGGCUAACUACGUG